AGUCGUAACAAGGUUUCCGUAGGUGAACCUGCGGAAGGAUCAUUACCGAGCGAGGGUCUCAGGGCCCAACCUCCAACCCUUGACCACCCACCCAUUGCCUCGGUGGCCCCGGCCGCCGGAGGAUCGCCCUGGGCUUGCCCCGGGGUUCAACCCGUCGUCUUGCAGUCUGAGAACUACACAAUAAUCAAAACUUUCAACAACGGAUCUCUUGGUUCUGGCAUCGAUGAAGAACGCAGCGAAAUGCGAUAAGUAAUGUGAAUUGCAGAAUUCAGUGAAUCAUCGAAUCUUUGAACGCACAUUGCGCCCCCUGGUAUUCCGGGGAGCAUGCCUGUUCGAGCGUCAUUACACCCUCAGGCUCUGCCUGGUGUUGGGCCCCGCCUGUGCGGGCCCGAAAUCCAGCGGCGGUUCCGUCUGGCUUCGAGCGCAGUAAAUCUCUCGCUCUGGAGGCCUUGCGGCGCCCGCCCAAACACCAUCAUAUUGACCUCGGAUCAGGUAGGGAUACCCGCUGAACUUAAGCAUAUCAAUAAGCGGAGGAAAAGAAACCAACAGGGAUUGCCUCAGUAACGGCGAGUGAAGCGGCAACAGCUCAAAUUUGAAAUCUGGCUCCUCCGGGGUCCGAGUUGUAAUUUGUAGAGGAUGCUUCGGGUGCGGCCCGGUCUAAGUUCCUUGGAACAGGACGUCACAGAGGGUGAGAAUCCCGUACGUGACCGGACGCCAACCCCAUGUGAAGCUCCUUCGACGAGUCGAGUUGUUUGGGAAUGCAGCUCUAAAUGGGUGGUAAAUUUCAUCUAAAGCUAAAUACUGGCCAGAGACCGAUAGCGCACAAGUAGAGUGAUCGAAAGAUGAAAAGCACUUUGGAAAGAGAGUUAAACAGUACGUGAAAUUGUUGAAAGGGAAGCGCUUGCGACCAGACUUGCCUGCGGCCGAUCAGCCGGUGUUCUCACCGGUGCACUCGGCCGUGGUCAGGCCAGCAUCGGUCUGGGCGGCGGGACAAAGGCCCCGGGAAUGUGGCCCCUCCGGGGGUGUUAUAGCCCGGGGCGCAAUGCCGCCAGCCCGGACCGAGGACCGCGCUUCGGCUAGGAUGCUGGCGUAAUGGUCGUAAGCGACC
rnacentral:rRNA from 1 species